GUUACAUGGUCAAUCACUUCAAUGGUCAUUUUAUAGUACUUUUUUAUGACUUUUAGUAAAGUAUGAAAUUUAUUCUCUCUUCAAAAAUAUAUUUACGUAAAACUGGAUUUAUCUCAGAGUUGAAUGGACUGGCUUCUGAACAAGUGGAUAUAUAUACUUGCUAGUUAAUGGAUUGACAAGAAGCCCUGGCAGAUAGUCAAAUAUCUUGCAAUACCCUGAGAGCGACGGUUGAACAAGAGGCAGGUUAAUUGAUAUCAGCGACGAUUUGCGACAUUUGGAGAAGACGGUCCUAAGGAGAAGAACCAGGAUGGCAUGUGUCCAUAAAUAUACAUGCAGUUCAUAAGAAAGUUUGCGUGGAAUGACGCCCGGUUGACCGGCGUCUAUCAAGUCUCAAGACGUUUGUCUUGUGCGGUUACCAAGAAUAAUAACUAAUGCUAUUGAUUUUAAUUAAUUUCACUCGUUGCAUAAACUGUAUAACGAAUAUUUGUAAUGCAAGACAGUAUACGUAAGAGAGGCGAAAGUGCAUUCUCAUAUCCGUCGGGCAUUUUUUGACAAACACGUCACUCAUUCCAAUGAUCCAUUUUUUUUCUGCAAAGGAUUAAAAUCAUUGUUUCACCCGUUUGGCUUAUAAAUUAGACAAGUCUCUGUUUGAAAACCAUUUGCAUUGCAUGUUGUCUUUCUUCGUGAUAAAGAUGAUUGAUUUAUACAUUUCAUUUUUGAAGAAAUAAUAAACUUUUCUCGUUAGUUCGCAUUUAAUUAUUCAGAUGAAAGAUACUUUUACUGCCUUAGGAAUAAUCAUUCCACUUGAUUUUGUCUGUGCAUGCAGUAUGUCCUAAAGGUGCUUUUCAUGCAUGAGGCCCAUUCUUCAUCUCUAUAUAUGAGUAAGGAAGCCAGCAACCAACCAGAGCAUUCUUUGGCUGGGUUAUUUCCACUGCCCACGUCCGUUCCUGAGGUACACAUUAUCAUGAUUAUAGGAAAAAACAAAUUUAUCCGAUAAUCUAUUUUAUUAAAAUAGACAUUACUCUUCAACGUUGUUUU